GACGAACGCUGGCGGCGCGCUUAACACAUGCAAGUCGAACGGAAAGGCCUGCUUUCCCUUGUGGAUUGCGGGUACUCGAGUGGCGAACGGGUGAGUAACACGUGAGUGAUCUGCCCCCAACUUGGGUAUAAGCCUGGGAAACUGGGUCUAAUUCCCGAUAGGACUGCAGGGUGGUGCCUGUGGUGGAAAACGAUUUUCUAGUGGUUGGGGAUGAGCUCGCGGCCUAUCAGCUUGUUGGUGGGGUAAUGGCCUACCAAGGCGGCGACGGGUAGCCGGCCUGAGAGGGUGGACGGCCACAUUGGGACUGAGAUACGGCCCAGACUACUACGGGAGGCAGCAGUGGGGAAUAUUGCACAAUGGGCGGAAGCCUGAUGCAGCGACGCCGCGUGGGGGAUGACGGCCUUCGGGUUGUAAACUCCUUUCGACCGCGAGGAAGCCACCUGGUUGGAAGGGUGGUGACGGUAGUGGUAGAAGAAGCACCGGCUAACUACGU
rnacentral:rRNA from 1 species